UGUGGCCUUGAAUUCCAUACAGCACAA
rnacentral:piRNA from 1 species